UAAGCCCCGGAAGUCCCAGGCCUGGACCAAGCAUGUCUCCGCUGCCACUUAGCCCCGCAAGUCCCGAGGCUGGCCCAAGUGGAUCUCUGCCCCCAUUAAGCCGAAAACGUCCCACCUCUGGCUCAAGUGUUUCGCUGCCACCAUUGAGCCCAAUGACUUCGUCACCGUCUACACAAAGCCCCAUAAGCCCUGUUGCUGGUUCAAAUAGCUCUCCGUUAUUGCGCACCCGAA